rnacentral:lncRNA from 1 species
AAAGAGACAUGAGUCAUUCGUGUGGAGAAAGUACAACACAAGUAGACCUGUAUGGUUUACAAGUUUAAAAGAAGUGACACACGUGCAUGUGCUUAGUCACGGUCAAUAUUAAAAAGAUGUGUAUGAUCUUCAUGUUCCAUUCCUAGAUUGCAUGUUAUGUACUUGUGUUUUAAAGAUUGAUAUGACGAAGGCAUUUCAUUCUGCUAUCCAAAUGUUGUGUCAUCCUUUGUUAUCUCUUUUGAGCUUUUGUUUUAUUUCUUUUAUAUCCCUCUUUUGGAAUCAAAAUAGAGUCUGAAAAAAAAAUAAAAAAAAAGUGUCAAGAAAAAGAAUAGAGUCAGAAAAGUGUCAAGAAAAAAUAGAGUCAGAAAAAAUAUCUCUCUCUAUAAAAAAAAGAAAAAAAGAGAGAGAAUAGUCAAGAAAAGAAAAAAAAUGAAAAUCAAGCAAAAGAACAAGAUAUCUAAACUACGUUUGACCUGAUUCUUGCUAUGACAAGAUACGUAGGUAGCCCUACUCUGGGGUUCGGUCCAACCAAAAGAAAAUUUAAAUUACUCAGAAUGAAAUGAAACUGGGGCAAAGUUUAUUUCCUUAAAAAAGUCGAUUCCAAAAGUUGUAUGUUUCACCCAAUAUUAUGUAAAUUUUUUAGCCACAUGCCUCCAUUUCUUUCUAACCUUUUCCAAAAGCCAAGUUACAACCAAAGAAAGACGUUCAGAUUGAUCUUUGAGAAUGUCAAGGCUAAACAUGUUAUGGGAGCAUGAUGUUUCUUAUGAUGGGCAUUAUUUUCAAAAAAAAAAAUUGAAUGAAAAAAAAUGAAUGAGUAAAAAUGAGAGAGUCUUAUUGGUGAAAACCCUUUUGGGCACCAUAAGGCAACAGUGAGUUGAGAAAGAAAUGAAAAUGAGAUAGGCGUUAGCAAAAACCCAUUGAGGUGCCACUAGCCAAAGGAGAAUUGUGAUCUAGAGGGAGCAUAUUCAAGAUUGAUUUCAUUUCAAACUCAAUAAGUGGACAAGAGUUGUAAUGAUUAGUAUGGGUAGAUCCGGUUGUUUAAUUCAAAAUGCAUGUCAUGAUUGCUGGAAUUGGCUACCACACCCAAAUAAGUUUUCUUCUGUCGUUUAAAAAAAAAAGAAAAAAAAUGUCUAUUGUUUUUCCCUUUUCUUUUUAUUUUUCUAUUUUUGAUUUUUGAUAUCUCAGUCAUCAAAUAAAAAUUACUGUCAUUUUUCUCGUGUCUUUGAGUCGAGUCCAUGUCAUAACAAGUGAGAAAAUAUUUCAAAACUGGCUACCAGCUUCUUCAAUUGCAUAAAGUAAGACAAAAAGCCAACACAUAAAAGUGACAUGAUUGUGAGCCAGAAUAAGGCAUGCAGAAAGUUUUGUCAACAAACGAGUCUGGGAACUCAUGAAAAUACUAAGGUUCAAAGAGUUUAUUUGAGAAGCAUGAAAAAGCAGAGAUGCUGUGUUUGUUUCAAAGUCACUUCUGAUAAUAUAAGUUUGGGUCAAUGAUGCAGCAAGUCGAUGAUGGAUGCUAAUGGUUGGAAGCAAGGUUAAAUAUGACGAGGGCAAGAAUGAUUACCACAAAAGCUAAAGCCACAAACCUACCACCAUGUUUUUGAACUUACAAGUUUUCUUUGAUGAAACAGGAAAUAUGUUACUUUCAACUCAAGAACUUCAGAGUAUAAAUAUCAAGAGCUGCAAUGCCUCAUUUCAACAAAUGCAGGAAGCAAUGUUAUUGCACAGGUUUGAUAAUCAAAUUAUGAUAAAAAAAAAUUGUCAUUAUAUAUCCCUAAAAAGUAUACUUCUUUGUUCAGGUAUUUCAGUUUUAAUUGCUAGAUGAUAUAUUUCUUAAAUUGAACCGUGAUUCCUAUAAGACGAACCUUUUAGUCGAGUCAUCCCCUUGAUUCCUAUAAGACGUAUCUUUUAUUCGAGUCAUCCUCUUGAUUCCUAAGACGUACCUUUUAGUCGAGUCAUCCCUCUUGAUUCCUAUGAGACGUACCUUUUAGUCGAAUUAUUUUCUAAGUAUAAACUGGGCCAAAAAUUUUGUUCGUGUUCAUUGAAUUUUAUAUUCUGCUCAGAACCCUCCUAAAGAAUUGGAUGUUAUUUUUUGUUUGUUUGUUUGACCUUUUAUUUUGAGUUCAGGAACAUAUUUUGAAAAAUCAAAAAUUGUAAGUCCAGGAGCCUGCCUGAAGAACAAAGUGAAGAAAAAAGGAAGUCCAGAAACCCGCCUGAAGAACAGGGUGAAGAAGUAAGUUCAGGAGCCAGCCUGAAGAACAGGGUGAAGAAAUUGUAAGUCCAGGAGCCCGCCUGAAGAACAGGGUAAAGAAAUUGUAAGUUCAGGAGCCCGCCUAAAGAACAGGGUGAAGAAAAAGGAAGCCAGGAGCCCGCCUGAAGAACAGAGUGAAGAAAUUGUAAGUCCAGGAGCCUGCCUGAAGAACAAGGUGAAGAAGUUGUAAGUCCAGGAGCCUGCCUGAAGAACAGGGUGAAGAAAUUGUAUGUCCAGGAGCCCGCCUAAAGAACAGGGUGAAGAAGUUGUAAGUCUAGGAGCCCGCCUGAAGAACAGAGUGAAGAAAUUGUAAGUCCAAGAGCCCGCCUAAAAAGCAAGGUGAAGAAACUAUAAGUUCAGGGGCCCGCCUGAAGAACAGGGUGAAGAAGUAACAAAUCAAGAGUAUGCCUGAAGAACAGGACGAAGGAAAAGCAAGCCAGGAGCCUGCUUGAAGAAUAGGGUGAAUUUUCAAGUUCAAGUCACAAAGAUUAGUAUCAAGAUUCUAGAGAUUGCAAUUUUCACUUGUAUUUUUCAUUUUUGAUUUUGUUAGUCAUUUGAUGUAAAAAGCAGAAAUCGUUAACCAAAAAUUCAAUGAAAUCUCACUUGAUGUCUAACUCAUUCUCUCACUAUAUUACCUUUGAACUACAUGUGACACAAUUUUCUUAUAACCCAGGAUAUGUAGGCGGUCCAAAAUUAGGACUCGGUCACACCUUUUAUUUUAUUAUAUUUUAUUUUAUCUUCACUAUUUUAAUAAUCGGAGGGUCAAAAAUCAUCUCUUUGUCUACUUCUUUGUAUGAAAACUCUUUGAGAUUUCAAACAAAGAGGGGCAAAAUGUAGACAAGUGAUUUUGAUCCUCCCCGAGUGUAAUAUAUAUAUAUAUUCUUUUCGAUAUUGAAUAUUUUUAUUUGAUUCGAUAUUAUUUUAAUUAUUAAUUUAUUUUUAGUAAAUUUUAGUUAAACAAUAAACAACUAAAUGAAUUUAAUUUUAGGAUAAUAAUUUAUUUUAUUCCAAUUUAAAAAAAAAAUAUAAUACAAAAAUUAAAAAAAUAUAUGUUUCUUUUUAAAUAAAUAAGUUAGUAGUUUUAAUACUAUCUUAAUUAUAUUUGUUUUUGGCUAUUUUUAAACUUUAAUUGUAUUAUCUUAAAUAUAAAAUUAAUUAUUUAUUAUUAUUAUUAUUAUUAUUUUUUAUUUUAAAAAUAAUUUAGUUAUUUAUUCUUGUUAUGGUUAUUAUUUUUUUAUAAUAAAAUUAAAAUUAAAUAAAAAUUUCAAAUUUUAAAAUCCUAAAACUACCCAACCUCCUCCCCUUAUCUGACUUCCCCCUUAACUGUUCCCCUAAUUCUUCCCCUAUUUAAGGACUCUACCUACGUACAUUCUACACUGUAUUACACAGCAUCAGACAACAUAGAAACCGAGAGAAAAAAAACAUAGAGUAAGAAAAAGAGAGAAAAAGAAGAAAGUGUAAGUUGGAGUUUUGUUGAAGUUUUCGGUGACAAUCUCUUGCGUAUUCAAUCAGGUUGAAAUACAGGUUCUAUUUUUAUCUUAUACUAUUGUUGUAAAUUUACUAUUAAAAAAAAAAAACAAGAAUGAAAAUUUGAAGUAACUUCAUGUAUCAUUGAUUAUGUGUGAUUGUUUGAUUAUAUGGAUCAUCUCUUACAACGUAUCAUACGACUAAAUUAUCGAAUAUUUAUAUAUUUGAAAAUGGAUGUGUUAGGAAAAGAAAAUAGACGUAGUAAAUAUAUUUACAGAGCUUCACAAUCACUCAUACAGUUUCCUUCUUCCUAUUUUUCCAUGAUUACAGUAGAUUAACACAUACACGCACCAACACAGAAAAAAAAAGUAAAAAAAAAAAAAAGAUCAGAAACGGAGAACCUGUCACGGCACAAACAUCCCUCUUCUCUUUUCCACUAUGCUAUAUCGAAAUUAAUCAUCGGUGGCGCGAGUUUCGGAAAACACCACCACUUCCGAAAAUCCCCUCAAAUUUCAUCGACGGAUCAUCAAACUCAUCGGAUUUGGUCGCAUCGUUAUUUUCUUUUUUUCAUUCUCUUUCUGCUUUUGUUGUCAUAGGUUACUUUAGGGUAUUUGUUAAUUGGAAUUGUGAAUUUUUUAUUUUUUUUAGUGUAACUUUUAGAGUCCAUUUUUCU